rnacentral:pre_miRNA from 1 species
UGAUUGUCCAAACGCAAUUCUUGUAACAUAUUAUUCAACAAGAAGUGUGUGGGGACAUCAUU